rnacentral:lncRNA from 1 species
AACGAUGAUUAAACAAAAGUGUUUAACAUAUAAUUUUUACAUGAAAAUUUACUCUAUAGCAAUACCCUUAUAGGAUUGAUGGAAUUACCUUAGAUAUAUAGAACAGAUCUUCAUAGGUAUGAUUUAAUGGGUUUACCUGGAGAGCUGUAGAUAGCAUUUAUCUUUACCAUUGUAUCUGUACAUUAGAAUGUUAAUUGUAUGGCCAGUAUGAAAUGGGUCCAUAAUAAUCCAUUUUUUAUUUUGGGUAGUUUAAAGUAUCCAAAACUACAAAUUUUUAAAAGUUUCAGAGUAAAUCUACUUGACAUUGAAAAACGGCAUGGGUUUUCAUAUUUUUGUUGUGAGUUAUUUCUUCUGUGAUAGAUGAUUAAGGUGCAACCUUUUUGCACUAAGAAAUGCUUUUUGCUAAUGUAAUUGUUAAUCAUGUCAAUACUUUUUAAACAAUACCUUUUAUGAUAUAUGAUAAUGGCAUUUUGACAAAGAUUGCUUUUAUAUGAAAUGAAUGGCAUUAUAUUUAUUUAUUUGAUUUAAUAUAUUUCUAAAGAAAUGGGGAAAUUAAAAAAAAAAUUACCGGAAGAUCUUAUACUUUGGGAAUAUUUCCUACUUUAGCUUCUGUAUCUGCUUCUAAAACUGGAUGCAUGCUAGGGGUAUAAAAGGAUUUUUUUUAUCUUUUUUCAAAUCAUUUCUGAAUUAGAACUUCUUAUUGAGAUUUGAAUUUUAUGUUGUUGAAAAUUUAUAGCUUUUACAUAAAUAUAGUACACUUAUUUCAAACGUUUCAAUGUAUACAUAUUUAUCUAGAUUAUAUUAGUGUCUAGUAAUACUAUUUAUACAUUUUUGUGGUGAGCCAGUUUUGGGCAUCAUUUUCCAAAGUCUGCAUAUAGUUAUCAAAGGUACCAGGAUUAUAAUUUAGUAUAUGCCAGACACGCGUUUCGUCUACAUCUGUGUAUAUACAAAAUCAACUAUCUUGUAUCUAUAUGUAGUUUAUUUAUUUGUAAACAUAUGUAAAUAGAAUUUUCCACGGUGAACUUCAUUAUUUUAAAACAAGAUCAUUUUCAUUGGCGGUAAUGAGGUUUAAAGAUAAAUAUUGUGUUAGGAAUAGGCUUAAUAUUCCCUGUCACAAAAAAAAAAUACUUUUGAAAACAUUACCCAGAAUACAUCAGUUUUUAAAAUGAUAGAUUGAAUAUUUUGAAAGUAAUACUGAGGAAAAGUUGCAAAUACUGUGCAUUCAUUAUUAUUCGUUGGGUACCAAUUUUCAUUGUUUUCGUAGGUAAAGGUGAACCACAAAUUCAAAUGAUCAACGAAUUACAUAUUUUCUAUAGGAUGAGUAUGCAGAGUUGAGUAAAACAACAAAAUCAGAUACCCUUGAAGUUUUCUUCAAUCCAUGAAAAUUGAUACCCAGGAAAAUAAAUGAAUCCACAGUACAUGUAUAAAAGCAGUUAUAGCGCUUAUCUGUUCCAUGAAUCAGUGAAAUGUUUUCUUGUUUUGUUUUGAUGUGUUCUUUGAUUAAUGUAUCAUUGAUGUUUAACCUUCAGCC